AGAGUUUGAUCAUGGCUCAGGAUGAACGCUAGCUACAGGCUUAACACAUGCAAGUCGAGGGGCAGCAUGUCGGUUGCUUGCAACCGACGAUGGCGACCGGCGCACGGGUGAGUAACGCGUAUCCAACCUACCCUUGUCCAUCGGAUAACCCGUCGAAAGGCGGCCUAACACGAUAUGCGGUUCUCAGCAGGCAUCUAACGAGAACGAAAUGUGAAGGAGAAGGAUGGGGAUGCGUCUGAUUAGCUUGUUGGCGGGGUAACGGCCCACCAAGGCGACGAUCAGUAGGGGUUCUGAGAGGAAGGUCCCCCACAUUGGAACUGAGACACGGUCCAAACUCCUACGGGAGGCAGCAGUGAGGAAUAUUGGUCAAUGGACGGGAGUCUGAACCAGCCAAGUAGCGUGCAGGACGACGGCCCUAUGGGUUGUAAACUGCUUUUAUAGGGGGAUAAAGUGUGCCACGUGUGGCAUAUUGCAGGUACCCUAUGAAUAGGGACCGGCUAAUUCCGUGCCAGCAGCCGCGGUAAUACGGAAGGUCCGGGCGUUAUCCGGAUUUAUUGGGUUUAAAGGGAGCGUAGGCCGUCUUAUAAGCGUGUUGUGAAAUGUCGGGGCUCAACCUGGGCAUUGCAGCGCGAACUGUGAGACUUGAGUGCGCAGGAAGUAGGCGGAAUUCGUCGUGUAGCGGUGAAAUGCUUAGAUAUGACGAAGAACUCCGAUUGCGAAGGCAGCCUGCUGUAGCGCAACUGACGCUGAAGCUCGAAAGCGUGGGUAUCGAACAGGAUUAGAUACCCUGGUAGUCCACGCGGUAAACGAUGGAUGCUCGCUGUUUGCGUCUGACGUAAGCGGCCAAGCGAAAGCGUUAAGCAUCCCACCUGGGGAGUACGCCGGCAACGGUGAAACUCAAAGGAAUUGACGGGGGCCCGCACAAGCGGAGGAACAUGUGGUUUAAUUCGAUGAUACGCGAGGAACCUUACCCGGGCUUGAGCUGUAGGCGAACGAUUCAGAGAUGAAGAGGCCCUUCGGGGCGCCUAUGGAGGUGCUGCAUGGUUGUCGUCAGCUCGUGCCGUGAGGUGUCGGCUUAAGUGCCAUAACGAGCGCAACCCUUGUUCGUAGUUGCCAUCGGUUAAAGCCGGGCACUCUGCGAAGACUGCCUCCGUAAGGAGUGAGGAAGGUGGGGAUGACGUCAAAUCAGCACGGCCCUUACGUCCG
rnacentral:rRNA from 1 species